CUUCAGAUUGGGAUGCUUUGGUCGUGAUAAGUGGCAGGAGUUGUUUUUGGAUCGUCUCACCCUCUUUCUGUAAGUGGAAUUUUGUAGUUCGUUUUGAAUUCAAUUUUCAUCUCCAAUCACUUGAUGCAGAUAUAUCUUUUCUUACUUGGGGUACCUACAAAACGUGACCUACAUAUCAAAGAGUCCACAAGUCACAGGUAAACACCUUUCUCCUGGACUGUGCUAUUACAUAUAUGUACUAAGAGAGAAAUAAGUCACAGCAUGAAUCAUUUUACUUAUCCUUGCACGAAACAAACUCAUGAAGCAUUACUAAGAAAAGUAUAGGAAGAUCAAUAAUGUGAAACAUUUUCCUUGGCAGCCUUCUACUCAAAUCAUGGGGAAAGAGUGUUGUAGGAUGAGAGCAAAGUGCUUUUACAUGCGUGCUAUAUCGAAUCUAACCUGUGGGGUAAUUUUUCUUCCUGUUAUAUAUAUAGUCGCGAAUGACUUAAAUUAAUUAAUGGUAUUCUCGUCAUUAUGAAAGAUAGUGAGGGCAUCUCCGUCAACCCAUAUCUUACGGAUGCAAAGUUGGUGUGGCGGCGGUUCCGUUUCGAAAGACCGUUCCGUGUUCGAUCGAUUUCGAAGUGUCCAAUUGUUGUCAUCUCCCUAGGUGGUUACCCGCUUUCCGAUUGGAGAAACCGUGACCCCUGGGCGGGACCCGCGAUGUCUCCACCGUUGGCUCCAUUCACUAGUCUACCCCCACCGUCCCCAAUUGGCCCGCCUUCUCUGCAGUUGGGUCCUCCGAUUACUUGAACCACAUGGAAUCCGGGUGGUUGUGACACGUAGCUUCUGCAGGUGACGAAGGUAAUUCUAUGAUCGUGUAAUUCUAUGGCAAGUAAAUAACUUACUAUUACUGUUAAAUAUUAUUUAAAUAUUGUAAUUUGUCGUAAAAAGAUAACUUACUUAAAUAUUUCUUAAAUCUUAUUGGGUCUCAGUGGAUAUUUAUUUAGUGUGUCAAAAUCAUAGUAUGGCAGGAAUUAAAUAGGGAGACUGACUCAAUUUAUAUAGUGCACACCAAAGAAAAGUAGUGGUGAAAAUGUAUGUUUGCAUUUGGAUGGUUGACUUGGAGUGCUCACGGAAAUCGGCAGCCGUUUAAUGUUCCACAAAACGCUCGUCCCCUUCUCUUCGUCUUCCUCUCCUGCUCCUUCGCUGUCGUCUCCGUUCUUCAUUCCUCAGCCUACCUCCAUUCCUCUGCCACUU
rnacentral:lncRNA from 1 species